UACGGGGGGGGCAAGCGUUGUUCGGAAUUACUGGGCGUAAAGGGCGCGUAGGCGGUUCGAUAAGUCAGCUGUGAAAACCAUGGGCUUAACUCAUGGCCUGCAGUUGAGACUGUCGGGCUGGAGUGUGGGAGAGGAGAGUGGAAUUCCUGGUGUAGCGGUGAAAUGCGCAGAUAUCAGGAGGAACACCGGUGGCGAAGGCGGUUCUCUGGGCAUUACCUGACGCUGAGGAGCGAAAGUGUGGGGAGCGAACAGG
rnacentral:rRNA from 1 species